UAGGUGUUGACUGAGUGGCUUAAGGUGUUGAUCUGCUAAAUCAAUUAUAUUAAUUUAAUAUACAUGGGUUCGAAUCCCAUACACCUCU
rnacentral:tRNA from 1 species